rnacentral:rRNA from 1 species
CAGCCGCCGCGGGAAUACAGAGGGUGCGAGCGUUAAUCGGAUUUACUGGGCGUAAAGCGUGCGUAGGCGGCUUCUUAAGUCGGAUGUGAAAUCCCUGAGCUUAACUUAGGAAUUGCAAUCGAUACUGGGAAGCUAGAGUAUGGGAGAGGAUGGUAGAAUUCCAGGUGUAGCGGUGAAAUGCGUAGAGAUCUGGAGGAAUACCGAUGGCGAAGGCAGCCAUCUGGCCUAAUACUGACGCUGAGGUACGAAAGCAUGGGGAGCAAACAGGAUUAGAGACCCCCGUAGUCCCUGUCUCUUAUCU